ACUCAAAGGAAUUGACGGGGGCCCGCACAAGCGGUGGAGCAUGUGGCUUAAUUCGAUGCAACGCGAAGAACCUUACCAGGCCUUGACAUGCAUUUGACCGGUGCUGAAAGGCACCUUUCCCGCAAGGGACAGAUGCACAGGUGCUGCAUGGCUGUCGUCAGCUCGUGUCGUGAGAUGUUGCGUUAAGUCGCGCAACGAGCGCAACCCCUGUCCUUAGUUGCCAUCAUUAAGUUGGGCACUCUAGGGAGACAAACCCUCUUUGAGGGUGGGAAGGUGGGGAUGACGUCAAGUCAGGAUGGCCCUUACGGCCUGGGCUGCACACGUGCUACAAUGCCCGAUACAGAGGGAUGCGAAACCGCGAGGUGGAGCAAAUCUUCAAAAUCGGGCCCAGUUCAGAUUGCAGUCUGCAACUCGACUGCAUGAAGCCGGAAUCGCUAGUAAUGGCGUAUCAGCUACGACGCCGUGAAUACGUUCCCGGGCCUUGUACACACCGCCCGU
rnacentral:rRNA from 1 species